GGAAUCUUGGACAAUGGGCGCAAGCCUGAUCCAGCCAUGCCGCGUGGAUGAUGAAGGCCCUUCGGGUUGUAAAAUCCUUUCAGCGGGGAAGAUAAUGACGGUACCCGCAGAAGAAGCCCCGGCUAACUCCGUGCCAGCAGCCGCGGUAAUACGGAGGGGGCUAGCGUUGUUCGGAAUUACUGGGCGUAAAGCGGGUGUAGGCGGAUCGGCCAGUCGAGGGUGAAAUCCCAGGGCUCAACCUUGGAACUGCCUUCGAUACUGCCGGUCUCGAGUCUGGGAGAGGUGAGCGGAAUUCCGAGUGUAGAGGUGAAAUUCGUAGAUAUUCGGAGGAACACCAGAGGCGAAGGCGGCUCACUGGACCAGUACUGACGCUGAGACCCGAAAGCGUGGGGAGCAAAC
rnacentral:rRNA from 1 species